CAGGAUUCCAAAAGCAGUUGGCCGCAUUAAAUAAGAGUCAGGAAUGAAAACAAUAGCAAGGAACUGCUGGAGGAUGUAAAGCUGGAAUAAUGAAGAGGGAACAGCCAGAGAUGUCAAAUGAACUCUGAAAAUAGAUGUGGCUUAAUGAGCGUGGAGAGGUUGCCUUCAUCCAAACAGGCAGAUUCAACCAGGAAUUGAACCCAGUUGUGUGCCGAAGCCAGCUUAUACCAGCUCAUGAGAGCUGUGGGCAUCUCUUCCCAAGGUCAUAUUCAGGAAUAUCAUAUCAGUAGCUUGAAAUCAAUUCUGAUGGGAAUGUUUUUACCGUGGAAAUUAGCAAAUGUUACAAUGCAGGACUUUUGUGUUUUUACUGCAGAACCAGUUUACCCACAUACCAUUGACUGGACCUGUAUUAUCAGAGCCAGCCUAGCUGAGUUCUAAUCCACUAAAUUUGUUCUGAAUAUCUUGAGAUUCCCCAAAAUGUUUUGUUGUUGUUAUUGUUGAUGAUGAGAAAGGAUUUGCAGUGAGACCAGCACCAAUCAAUGGAAUCAUAAGUUGAGUUGCUGAGAACAAGAAGAGAGGAGGUACUUUGCAGGGUGGCUUAAAAAGGCUACAAGAGCACUGAAGCUGGGCAGGCUGCCUGAAGAUGGCUGAGCUUGAGGCAGCAGGCACUCAGCUGAUGCUCACAGUCAGGCUGAUCCUGCCAGUCUUUCCACUGCAGAAAAGGAGACAAAUGGAAAAGUGCUGUCGGUGUGGUGUUAUCCUUCCACAACAGCCACAUUAAGGAGUCUGCUGCUCAGAAAAUGUUGCCUUAUGGAUGAAAACAAACUUCUCCAUUUCUUUGUCUUUGGCCAGCACAGAACAACAUCGUUUUACAUUACAAUAGUUGAAGUUCCAAAUUCCUCUGUUUUUGAAGGAAUGGGAGCCCAGUUUAAAUGAUGGAGAGGGAGAUUGCAGUUCUUACAAAGAGAAUAUAUCAGAGUGAAGAAAAUCACUCUUUCUUUAGCAGGGACUUUGAUGAUCAAAAGGCAUACUUUGCAGGCACCACCAAAGACACAGUAUUUCAAUUUAGAAUGGAAAAAUAUUUUUUGCUAAAUUUUUUGUGUACUCCCCCACCCCCACCAAAAUAGAAGCUGUCCAGGAGUUUACCAAGAUCCUGCCUGUCCUGGCGUGGCAUCCACAGGAUCAUACUGCCUGCAUUCUUAUGCGCAUCUCAUGCUGAUGAGCUGGAAGCCCUGCAGAUGCACACAGGUUAUACAGCUAGAUUUGUAGACCUGGAGGUGGGUGAGCAGUAGACUGGAUCUUUGUGAUGUGUUCAUGAAUCUGGCAGAGAGUGACAUCACUAUUGCUCCAUUUGCAAAAGAGCCCCUGACAAUGGGCAGGCUGCACAAAGAAACUGGUCAGUUGAUUGUCCAGUCAGUGGAGACCCAGAGAAGUCGGACAGCCAGAUUGUACAGGAUGUUGCCCUAAAAACAAAGGAAAUCUUCACCAGCCUAGCAACCAAUUUUAGAAGUUGUGGACGAUGGAGGAAAGUGACUCCUCAAUUUCGAGGCAUUAAAGCAAAAAUGAUUUCCACCAGCAAUGGAAAACUUUCUUUACCAUCUAGCAGCAGCUGAACAAAUGCUGAAAAUAUGGCUGAGACAAAAUGUCCAGCUGAUGACUGUUACAAAGUUCUGCUUUCAUGCUGAUUCC
ensembl:lncRNA